rnacentral:rRNA from 1 species
GGAGUUAGCCGGUGCUUCUUCUGUGAGUGAUGUCCUUCCUGCCGGCUAUUAACCCGCAGGCCUUCUUCCUCACUGAAAGUGCUUUACAACCCGAAGGCCUUCUUCACACACGCGGCAUGGCUGGAUCAGGGUUGCCCCCAUUGUCCAAUAUUCCCCACUGCUGCCUCCCGUAGGAGUCUGGGCCGUGUCUCAGUCCCAGUGUGGCUGAUCAUCCUCUCAGACCAGCUACGGAUCGUCGCCUUGGUGAGCCGUUACCUCACCAACCAGCUAAUCCGACAUAGGCUCAUCCGAUAGCGCGAGGCCCGAAGGUCCCCCGCUUUCCCCCGUAGGGCGUAUGCGGUAUUAGCCUGGGUUUCCCCCAGGUUAUCCCCCACUACCGGGCAGAUUCCUAUGCAUUACUCACCCGUCCGCCGCUCGCCACCAGGGAGCAAGCUCCCCGUGCUGCCGCUCGACUUGCAUGUGUUAGGCCUGCCGCCAGCGUUCAAUCUGAGCCAGUGAUACAACUCUGA